rnacentral:tRNA from 1 species
GGACCCGUGGUGUAGCGGUCUAACAUGCCUCCCUGUCACGGAGGAGAUCGGCGGUUCGAAUCCGCUCGGGGUCGCCA